UUUCCGAAACGGUAAAUCUGGAAGAAAUUCCAGAGGCACAAAGCUUAUGGACCCGUUAUGAAAAUAACAGGUGGCCGAGCUACCGAA
rnacentral:ncRNA from 1 species